AUAAAACACACAAAAAUCCUGCCCACGGAGCUGCCAUCCUGGGAGAAGGGGACCCGCAUGGAACAAAGUGUGUAGCGUGUGCAGUGGAGAGAACUUCAUGUGGAAAAAUAAAGCAAGAAGCACACUCAUUCACCCGGCGAAUGAGGGUCACGUUGACGAGCCGCUGGGCAUCCUGGGUGUCUGCCCACCUGCAGCCUGCAACUUGGAGGUGAUAGCUGGAGCUUCAGCAGCUAUUUUGGACCAUGAGGUUACCUUGAGGAUGGAAGCCAUAUGUGAAGAUGAUGCAACAGAAAGAGAGGAAGCUGG
rnacentral:lncRNA from 1 species